rfam:Roseobacter sp. CCS2 1101676645861, whole genome shotgun sequence.
GGUCUGGGGUCCGCGAACACCCCGUAAGGCCCCGGCCAAAGCAUCGCAUCCACUGACACCUUCAGAAAGGAUGCACGAUG